CACGUAGGGCGCAAGCGUUGUCCGGAAUUAUUGGGCGUAAAGAGCUCGUAGGCGGUCUGUUGCGUCCGCUGUGAAAACUCGGGACUUAACCCCGAGCCUGCAGUGGAUACGGGCAGACUAGAGGUAGGUAGGGGAGAAUGGAAUUCCCGGUGUAGCGGUGAAAUGCGCAGAUAUCGGGAGGAACACCGGUGGCGAAGGCGGUUCUCUGGGCCUUACCUGACGCUGAGGAGCGAAAGCGUGGGGAGCGAACAGG
rnacentral:rRNA from 1 species